CCAGCUUGGCAACAGAGCGCAAAUCCGUCUCAAAAAAAAAAAAAGAAAAAGGUAAAAGGGAUGCAAAGGAGCUAUUCAUCCCUUUUUGCCCUCCCACUUCUGCCUUGUAAGGAUGCAGUACCAAGCCACCAUCUUGGAAGCACAGAGAGCAGCUCUCACCACAGAUAGAAUCUGCUGGUACCUUGAUCUUGGUCUUUGCAGUCUCUAGGAUUGGGAGAAGUAAAUUUCUGUUGUUUAUAAAUUACUCAGUCUAAGGUAUUUUGUUAUAGCAGCAUGAACAUAUGAAGACGCACUGUGUAUGCUGUAUGUUUCCUUCAUGGCCAUAUCCCCAGUGCCUAGCAUGGUGCCUGGCACUUUGGCUCCCAUACACAUUGGAGAAUAUUCCAUUCACUAGCACUCCUCUCCAGGAGAGGUCUGUAUACUCUUGGAAGACAAAUGUGGAUAAGGCUUGGGGCCGGGAGGUCAGGGGCCAGCCUAAGUAACAUUCGCAGGUACAUGGAUUAGCGGGCCUUGUGGGGUCUACAGUUUGUCCAGGGCCCAAGAUGUCAGCACCAUCGAGAAGCUAAGUGUGGUUGGUUAUCUGUGCCUCCUUCCCAGCCACUGCUCUAAAUAACCAUAGAGCAAAUAUUUGAAGAAUGUCAGCUUAAAGGAGUGUCUCGCUCUGACCCUCAAAUCUCAAUUUCUUUUUAAAUUGACAAAAAUUGUAUAUAUUACACAUGUGUACAACAUAAUACUUUGAAAUAUGAAUACAUUGUGGAAUGGCUAAAUUUAAGGCCCAGUGUAAAUGCUACCUCCUCUCUAAAGCUUUCCUAUCCGCCAUUUCCCUCCACAGAAGCACAGUUUGGAUUUCCUCCCCUGGGCUGUGUAACCUCAGCUGGCACUAGUUGAACUGUACUGUCUGUAUAUUUAUAUGUCUGUCUCUCCUCCCAGAGGAAGUCCAUGAGGGCAGGGACUUUAUCUUUUCGUUCACUGCUUUUUCUUAGCAUCAAGCACAAUUUCUUGCAUGUGGUAGAUAUUCACCAAAUACCUGUCGACUUAAUGAACAAAGUGCCACCAUGUGCCAGGCACUAGUUGACUUCUGAGAAGGGGUAUACGUCAAGACAUUUGUUAGCCACCCACCAGCCUCUGAAUUUAAGCCUGCCAGUAAGCCCCAUCCUUCAGGACACAGAGCUUGGUCAAGAAGGGGCCCACAACCCUAUCCCCUACUCCCUACUCCCUAGCCCCUAGCCAAUCAGGUCCAACAAGACUUAAAUUUUAGGAAUCUUGUUUGAGGAAUAGAGAAGCUGACUUUCUCAUUCCUGCAGGAUGUGAACUCAUAAGGCUGAAUUCCCACUGGUGACCCCCAGGCCCACAAGGGAAGCCAGCCUUAAGACGAAGGCAGCAUCAUGGGAGGCAGAACAGAGGAAACUGGUGUCUUUGGUGACAGGUGAGCUGCUGAAUCAAACUUCCUUCCUGAAGCUAGCCCUCCCGUCUCCAUUUCUCUUAGGUAUAUGUACCAAUCAUUCCUUUCAGUCACUUUGUUUCUGCUCUUGCAACAUGAAGCGUCCAGAAGAGGCCAGAGAAUCACAGGAAACCCAAGAUUUAACACCUCAGGACCUGCUGAGGAGAUGGGUGAAUCCUCAGUUUAGGACACUCUCAACCCUCACAUCUAGUAUGGUUUUCAGAUGGUGGCACCCCAGCAGCUCUUGGACACAGGAGAAGGAGAUGUGAACCUGGGUCUUAACCAUCAGCUGCUCUAGCUGUUCUCAGUCCUCACCAAGAAGACAACUAGGACCCAUCCAAAGACAAAAACAGCCAAAGUUAUACCUGGCACAAGACCUUUGUGGGCCCCCAGAUCACUUGUCUCGGAGGCUGGAUCAGAAAUAAACAUUUUGGUCUUAUUAUAAGCAUAGUGGAGGUGUAGGAUUGAAAAAUCAGAGUGUUGGAGCUGGAAGGAUCCUUAGAGAUGAGCUGGUCAGACCCCCUCAUUUUGCAGAUGGGGAGACUGAGGCCCACAGCAGGGAGGAGUCUUUCUUGCUCAAGAUCACACAGCGUGUUAGUGCCAAAGCUAGUACCCUCCCUAAAGGAGUUUCUCCCUUAGCCUCCCCCUGCAGAAAUGGGGCUAAGGAGACUGGGCGCAGUGGCUCACGCCUAUAAUCCCAGCACUUUGGGAGGCCGAGGCGGGUGGAUCACCUGAGGUCAGGAGUUUGAGACCUGCCUGGCCAACAUGGGAAACCCCAUCGCUAACAAAAAUACAAAAAUUAGAGUGUUCAAUCUGCUUCCAGAUGGGCGAGAAGACUCGUGGUCUGGUUCUUGGACUUCCCUAACAGCAUGGCCCCUAAAUGCCAGUCUCCACUGCCUCAAAAGAAGAAACCAAGACCACCGCCUGCUCUGGGACCGGAGGAGACAUUGGCCUCUGCAGGCUUGCUGAAGAAGGGAGAAAAAGAACAGCAAGAAGCAAUUGAACACAUUAAGGAAGUACAAAAUGAAAUAGACAGACUUAAUGAACGAGCUAGUGAGGAGAUUUUGAAAGUAGAACAGAAAUAUACCAAACUCCACCAACCAUUUUUUCAGAAGAGGUCAGAAUUGAUCACCAAAAUCCCAAAUUUUUGGGUAACAACAUUUGUCAACCAUCCACAAGUGUCUGCACUGCUUGGGGAGGAAGACGAAGAGGCACUGCAUUAUUUGAUCAGAGUUGAAGUGACAGAAUUUGAAGAUAUUAAAUCAGGUUACAGAACAGAUUUUUAUUUUGAUGGAAAUCCUUACUUUGAAAAUAAAGUCCUCUCCAAAGAAUUUCAUCUGAAGGAGAGUGGUGAUCCAUCUUCAAAGUCCACCAAAAUCAAAUGGAAAUCUGGAAAGGAUUUGACGAAACGUUCAAGUCAAACGCAGAAUAAAGCCAGCAGGAAGACGAAGCAUGAGGAACCAGAGAGCUUCUUUACCUGGUUUACUGACCAUUCUGAUGCAGGUGCUGAUGAGUUAGGAGAGGUCAUCAAAGAUGAUAUUUGGCCAAACCCAUUAGAGAACUACUUGGUUCCUGAUAUGGAUGAUGAAGAAGGAGAAGAAGAAGAUGAUGAUGAUGAUGAAGAGGAGGAAGGAUUAGAAGAUACUGAUGAAGGGGAUGAGGAUGAAGGUGAAGAAGAUGAAGAUGAUGAAGGAGAGGAAGGAGAGGAGGAUGAAGGAGAAGAUGACUAAUAGAACACUGAUGGAUUCCAACCUUUGUUUUUUAAAAUUUUUUCCAGUCCCUGGGAGCAAGUUGCAGUCUUUUUUUUUUUUUUCCUCUUGUGCUCAGUCGCCCUGUUCUUGAGUUCUCUUUUCUCUACUCCAUGGUUCUCAACUUAUUUGGGGGGAAAUACCUUGAGCAGAAUACAAUGGGAAAAGAGUCUCUACCUCUUUCUGUUCAAAGUUCAUUUUUAUCCCUUCCUGUCUCAACAAAAACUGUAUGGAAUCAACACCACCGAGCUCUGUGGGAAGAAAGAAAACCCUGCUCCCUUCGCUCUGCUGGAAGCUGGAGGGUGCUAGGCCCCUGUGUAGCAGUGCAAAGAAUUCUAGCUUGUUUCCUCCUUUCUCUGUAUGUUGGGCUCAGAGAGUACACUGUGUCUCUGUGUGAAUAUGGACAGUUAGCAUUUACCAACAUGUAUCUGUCUACUUUCUCUUGUUUAAAAAAAGAAAAAAAAACUU